UACAGAGACUGCAAGCGUUGUUCGGAUUCAUUGGGCGUAAAGGGUGCGCAGGCGGUGCGUUAAGUCGGAUGUGAAAUCUCACAGCCUAACUGUGAUAGGUCAUUCGAAACUAGCGCGCUAGAGGACUGGAGAGGAGACUGGAAUGGUCGGUGUAGCGGUGAAAUGCGUAGAGAUCGACCAGAACACCGGUGGCGAAGGCGGGUCUCUGGACAGUUCCUGACGCUCAGGCACGAAAGCCAGGGGAGCAAACGGG
rnacentral:rRNA from 1 species